GCAAACAAUACCACAGGGUUAAAACCAGCUAGCAAGUAUUUGUACCAUCCAUUUCCCUAAAUUACCACCUACCAAACAUCCAGGGAGUUGAGGCUGGGAGUCAACUCUCUCUAUCCUCCCUGCCUCCAUCUCUAUCACAGCAGAAGGGGUCCAGUAAAGGUUCACUCACAAGAAGAUGCUAGGACCUUAGAGUAUAUGCAGCAAGUGAUAUUUACCUUUUCUUUGGGCUUCUCAGAACAGCAACCAGAAAGUACAGUGGAGAUUGAUGCUGCCUCUUCUCAUAUACAGUAGCAACAUAUUUUUGGAGCUGAAGACCUCUCACUCCGCUUCCACUUUUGCUGCCCCUAUUCUGCCAUGAGUUUAGCUGCAGCUGAAGGAAGCCUUCUUGAUUCUGCAUCCAUCUUUUCCUUGGCUCUAGUUUCUGAUCUUGUACCUGAAACUACUUCUGGUCUCUUUUACAAGACUCAUCCCACCUCCACUGAUGACCAAAGAUGCUUCUCUCCUAUCAGAAUUCACACGGUUUGGUUGACACCAUCAUGCCAACAGCUAAAUAUCCCAGGAUUUAUGGACAAAUUGAAAAGGAGAUGGAAACAUGUCCACUAAUGACAGAGGAGAUCUUUGCUGCCCCCAUUACACGGGACAAAUGGAUCAGAGGGUUACAAAACAAAGUGUUUUGUGAGGGCAACAAGGCUACGAAAGCAUCUAGUUCUUUUGGACCAGGAGGUCUCAGCAUUUCACAGAACACCAUUCACUCAUACUGCCAUAUAAGUAUUCCUCAAGCCAAUGAGGGUCUCAGUGCUCAGAACAUUUUCAGGGGGCUCUGCCUGCUGCCUGCCCAUAGGAAGCUUUGGGGAACCUGCCUUCAGAAACCCAAGUAGAUAAGGAAUUGAAAAGCCGGGCUUUUUAUUGGAGGGCAUGUGCAAGUACUGUAUAAUGCUUUUCUAUUCUGUUUACUUUGUGACAAAGAAAAGGUCUUUUGGUUGACUGAUGAGGCAAAAAUAAAAAUAGAUACAAAAAAAACUUCAAUUGAGAAACUAGCUCUUUUUCCUUCCUGAUAGUCAUUAAAUUAGGAUAGAGUAAGGAAUGACAACUCUUGAGUUCUGAAAGGUUUUGGUAGGUUACUAGUUGUCUUUCCUUCUAACCAAUCAGUUCCUGAGCUCACUCUCCUAGGUAAACUUGUGUCUGGAUGAGAUACCUCUUGUUGGCGUCUUCUUUCCUUUGGUACAAGACCUUAUGAAAUCUUGAAAGGAUAAAAUAGCCACCAAGUCUUGUGGCUGAGUUUGGGAAAGAGCCAGGUAUGAGGGAUGAGCUGCUUGACACCCAGCCCAGCGGUGGAUUAACCUGACAGCUGAGAAAUUCAUGCAAGCAAGGGACCAGUCUAUCGGUUAUGAAGCACAUGAAACAACUCACUGAAUCCUGAGGGAAAUAUAGAGAACAAGCUCUGGGACCCUAAAUUUGUUAGUAUGCCUCAUCGAGAGUAAUUCUCAGAGUUUCCCUGUUAUUCCAGUAUAUAUUAUUGUCUCCUAAUAGAAACAUAAGGCAAGCCCAUCCUAGAAUGAUGGUUUAUUCAGGAGACCAUGUGCUCAUGAGCUAGCUCCAUGGAAGGAAGGACACCUAACCUCCUCAGCCCCCAAUCUCCAAUUCCCCCCACUCCCAGUCUUCCAGAUCUCAGAGUCAACCUUAUGCUAAGUGGUGUCCACAAGAAGGAAAGACGACAUUUCAUCACAGGGAUACUUGCAGCUUUUUUG
rnacentral:lncRNA from 1 species